rnacentral:lncRNA from 1 species
CUGUGUCUGUUGAAGAAAGGCUCACAAGAUCCCAUGGAGGAUCCUCCCUUACCCAGAGCAAGAGCACAGCACUCCACGGUUUCCCUGCUGGAGCAAUGAGAAGCCAACACAGGCCCCAUGGAACGAGUUGGCAGCACAAGGCUGUGCAGACAUCUGGCGACUAUUGGAGCCAACAAGGAGAAAGCAUAGAAGCUGGGAGAGUCUCCCCUUCCUUGCACAAGAACUGAGACUUCCUUGGAGGGGCCAGCUUCAUCCUGGCAUUUCUCUUCUUUGGGGCUGGCAUCCAGAGGAUAGAAAAC